UCUUGUCUUGUUUACUGAUGAAUGAGAGUUCUUUUGUGUGUGUUUGUUGAUUAUCCCUCUUAGUCUCAGACUAGGGAUGUCCAAUACUUAAGAUGCUAUGUGGCGUUUUUGUAUCCAAAAAAUGAGUCAGGAUUAUAAAAACUCACUGGCCAUAUUUUCAAAACUGAUUUUUUAGCAAGUAAUAGGAGUAACUCUUUAUCUGUUAUUUGGUCUGGACCUUUAGAGAAGCUCUUAUUCUCUUGAACUUAAGAAGGUGAAGAAUGAGAAGUUCAUAGAAUUCCUAUCUGUGCUGGAGGCUGGGUGAAGCAUAAGAGGCUUUUCCCUCACAGACAUAAUUUCUGUGGUCAGCCAGCAGAAGAGAACACCAGGAAGGCCAGUAUUGUUGGAGAGCCAGGCUUUGGAGUGUCACAAUCUAUCCCUCUGUGACACCACCCUCCACCAUUCAGUGAUGCACAAGUAUCUUGAUUUGAAAAGAUCUGUCUGCUAAGGAAGAAGAUGGGAUAUGUACCUUGAUAAUAGCAAGUUAGCAAAAAGAUGGAAAAAGCAGCUUUUACCUAAAAAUGUUUUGGGUUUGUUGGAAAGAGGUGCAUUCCUCCAAGGACAGGCAGCUUCAAUCUGGAGGCAGGGGCCCCUUCUUUCCUGUCUUCCACUGGAUCACAGCCUCCUCCAGCAGUGGCCCCAUGAUUACACGAAAGAUGCUCGGCUUCAAAUCAGUUGAAGAAGACUCAACCACUGGUCAUCCUGUUGACAUGAGGAGACCUUGCUGUGAGCACGAAAAAGACAUGACCUAUCAAAAAAGCACUAGCUUCUUUCUUCUGCUAUGGAAAAAUUGCUUUGCCACUUAGGUCAGCAUCAUGAUGCAAAUCUUAAGAUUAUGAGAUAUCUGAGUAAAUAAAGGCAUUUGGACUUUAA